GAUGGAUAACAGGUUGAUAUUCCUGUACCACCUAUAAUCGUUUUAAUCGAUGGGGGGACGCAGUAGGAUAGGCGAAGCGUGCGAUUGGAUUGCACGUCUAAGCAGUAAGGCUGAGUAUUAGGCAAAUCCGGUACUCGUUAAGGCUGAGCUGUGAUGGGGAGAAGACAUUGUGUCUUCGAGUCGUUGAUUUCACACUGCCGAGAAAAGCCUCUAGAUAGAAAAUAGGUGCCCGUACCGCAAACCGACACAGGUAGUCAAGAUGAGAAUUCUAAGGUGAGCGAGCGAACUCUCGUUAAGGAACUCGGCAAAAUGACCCCGUAACUUCGGGAGAAGGGGUGCUCUUUAGGGUUAACGCCCAGAAGAGCCGCAGUGAAUAGGCCCAAGCGACUGUUUAUCAAAAACACAGGUCUCUGCUAAACCGUAAGGUGAUGUAUAGGGGCUGACGCCUGCCCGGUGCUGGAAGGUUAAGAGGAGUGGUUAGCUUCUGCGAAGCUACGAAUCGAAGCCCCAGUAAACGGCGGCCGUAACUAUAACGGUCCUAAGGUAGCGAAAUUCCUUGUCGGGUAAGUUCCGACCCGCACGAA
rnacentral:rRNA from 1 species